rnacentral:rRNA from 1 species
CGGGGCGCAGCAGGCGCGAAACCUCUGCAAUAGGCGAAAGCUUGACAGGGUUACUCUGAGUGAUUUCCGUUAAGGAGAUCUUUUGGCACCUCUAAAAAUGGUGCAGAAUAAGGGGUGGGCAGGUCUGGUGUCAGCCGCCGCGGUAAUACCAGCACCCCGAGUGGUCGGGACGUUUAUUGGGCCUAAAGCAUCCGUAGCCGGUUCUACAAGUCUUCCGUUAAAUCCACCUGCUUAACAGAUGGGCUGCGGAAGAUACUAUAGAGCUAGGAGGCGGGAGAGGCAAGCGGUACUCGAUGGGUAGGGGUAAAAUCCGUUGAUCCAUUGAAGACCACCAGUGGCGAAGGCGGCUUGCCAGAACGCGCUCGACGGUGAGGGAUGAAAGCUGGGGGAGCAAACCGGAUUAGAUACCCGGGUAGUCCCAGCUGUAAACGAUGCAGACUCGGUGAUGAGUUGGCUUAUUGCUAACUCAGUGCCGCAGGGAAGCCGUUAAGUUUGCCGCCUGGGGAGUACGGUCGCAAGACUGAAACUUAAAGGAAUUGGCGGGGGAGCACCACAAGGGGUGAAGCCUGCGGUUCAAUUGGAGUCAACGCCGGAAAUCUUACCGGGGGCGACAGCAGAGUGAAGGCCAAGCUGAAGACUUUACCAGACAAGCUGAGAGGAGGUGCAUGGCCGUCGCCAGCUCGUGCCGUGAGGUGUCCUGUUAAGUCAGGUAACGAGCGAGAUCCCUGCCUGUAGUUGCUACCAUUAUUCUCAGGAGUAGUGGAGCUAAUUAGAGGGACCGCCGUCGCUGAGACGGAGGAAGGUGGGGGCUACGGCAGGUCAGUAUGCCCCGAAACCCUCGGGCCACACGCGGGCUGCAAUGGUAAGGACAAUGAGUUUCGAUUCCGAAAGGAGGAGGCAAUCUCUAAACCUUACCACAGUUAUGAUUGAGGGCUGAAACUCGCCCUCAUGAAUAUGGAAUCCCUAGUAACCGCGUGUCACUAUCGCGCGGUGAAUACGUCCCUGCUCCUUGCACACAA